rnacentral:rRNA from 1 species
UACAUGGGGUGCAAACGUUGCUCGGAAUUACUGGGCGUAAAGCGUGCGUAGGCGGUUUCUUAAGUCUGCUGUGAAAGCCCCGGGCUCAACCUGGGAAUGGCGGUGGAUACUGAGAAGCUGGAGUACGGUAGAGGAAGGUGGAAUUCCCGGUGUAGCGGUGAAAUGCGUAGAGAUCGGGAGGAACAUCAGUGGCGAAGGCGGCCUUCUGGACCAGUACUGACGCUGAGGCACGAAAGCGUGGGGAGCAAACAGG